ensembl:lncRNA
CCCCUUCUCUUUUGAAACACAGCUUCUACCACUUAUUUAAAAGUCUUCAUACAGGAAAAAGUGAAGAGACCAUCUACAGCCAAAAGCCAGAUGUCUUAAAUCAUGAGUUUCUGGGUUACCUUUAAUUCCAGGGGAUAACUCAAGAUUCCCUGACACCUCCAUCCUUUCCAGAAACGGCUUUGGGAUCCACAGAGGAGGGAAGUCUUUGUAUUCCUAAGAAUAUUGAUAGUAUACAUUGAAAAAUUGACUUACGCAGACUUUGUGACAAUGGAGGAAUAAUGACAAACAAGGUAUACAUUUGAAGGGAGACACAAACACUUCUUUUGAAAGAUGAGGAAAGUCAGAGUAAAGAAGAUUAAGUAUGCAUCUGAAAGGAAAUUCAUUAUUCCCAUGGUUUAUAAAUUCUAGAAGAAGAGAUAUAAAACUCUUUUGAUGAUGGCCAGGCUGAUUUUUCUCAUCACUCUUGCCUCAGCGUAUGGUCCAAUCUGCACAUGGAUAGCUAUAUAUUUGUUAGGCUAUAAUUACACUGUAAGGGACACAAGGGAGGUUACGAUAGUUUAACUGCUCUCCCUACACUGACUCUGACCACCUUCUCUGCCUUCUCUACGCUGUAACCAGAGCAAUCUUUUUAAGGUAAAUAAUCUAAUCACCCCUCAUUAGUGGUUUCCCCUUGCACUCAGAAUAAAACCAACAUUUUUUAGCUUGGCUUAUAGGGCCCUGGGUGAUUCACUGCCUGCCUGUCUCUCCAGGUUUAUUUUGGACCGUUUUUCAUUUCUUUCUUUUGCUUCAGGCACAAUGUUCUUCUCUCAGUUUCUACAGAAUUUCACCCUCCUUCCUGCUACAAGCCUUUGCCCAGGCCGUGUUUUCUGAUUGGAAUAUCCUCCCCACUUCCCACCUUCCGUAUGCUGCUGUUGGAGGAAAUAAUGGAGAGGACAUGAUGGCUGGUUGACCCUGGAGCUGGACCCAGGCAAUCGGAGGCUCCUCCCUCCCCUGUCCUUGGGAUGCAUGAUCCGCCCACCAUUCAAACACGAGGCGCUGCUUCAGGAACGCAGCCUUGAGAGAGUAAGGUGUUGUUGGGAUCAUCUGGACUGAAUACAUGACUGAACCCACUUAAGCCUCCAUAAAAGCUCUUGAGAUGCUGGCGGUCAGGUGCAGAGACCUAUUUCUCUCGUGGCCGCCCAAGACAAGCCUCGUAAUCUGGGCCUUUAUUUCAUAUACAGAUAUAACAGUGGACACAUCAGAAGAGGCAUAGGAGAAUUUGCUUCUGAAUAUUACAGUUGACUUUGCCUGCCUUGUAAAGCUGUUUUGCAGCCAGGAUAGAUCAUUUCCACUCUUCUUCAUUUCAAAUCCAUUUGUCAAACUCCAGGUGCACUUCUUUUCCAAGAACAAUGCCUGUGUGUCAUUAACGUUUUUUCCAAUAUGCUGUUAAGAAGCACUGAUAUGGCCCAAGUCAUCCUCACGGGGACAACUCUGUAGCCUUUCUCUGCAACCCUCCUCGUCCCCUCUAAGCUCAUCUUCGCCCUGCAGCCUGAGUGAUCCUGCUUAAGAGAGCCCCUCCUCAGUGGCUUCCCAUGCACCAGAAGAAAAUCUGGGCACUCUACCCCGCCUCACGAAGCCCUUCCAGGGUUCUUUCGGCAUUAUCAUUUGAGAACUUGGAGCAAGACUGUGGUUGAUUUUCUACCCUGUACAAUAAUAAGAUACACAGGUUUAUUUUGCUCCCAGAGUAAAG